rnacentral:rRNA from 1 species
AUUGAACGCUGGCGGCAGGCCUAACACAUGCAAGUCGAGCGGUAGCACAGAGAGCUUGCUCUCGGGUGACGAGCGGCGGACGGGUGAGUAAUGUCUGGGAAACUGCCUGAUGGAGGGGGAUAACUACUGGAAACGGUAGCUAAUACCGCAUAACGUCGCAAGACCAAAGUGGGGGACCUUCGGGCCUCAUGCCAUCAGAUGUGCCCAGAUGGGAUUAGCUAGUAGGUGGGGUAACGGCUCACCUAGGCGACGAUCCCUAGCUGGUCUGAGAGGAUGACCAGCCGCAAGGGAACUGAAACACGAUCCAGACUCCUACGGGAGGCAGCAGUGGGGAAUAUUGCACAAUGGGCGCAAGCCUGAUGCAGCCAUGCCGCGUGUGUGAAGAAGGCCUUCGGGUUGUAAAGCACUUUCAGCGGGGAGGAAGGCGAUAAGGUUAAUAACCUUGUCGAUUGACGUUACCCGCAGAAGAAGCACCGGCUAACUCCGUGCCAGCCGCCGCCGUAA